rnacentral:rRNA from 1 species
UACGGGGGGAGCAAGCGUUGUUCGGAUUUACUGGGCGUAAAGGGCGCGUAGGCGGUCAGUGCAAGUCAGUUGUGAAAUCUCCGGGCUUAACUCGGAAAGGUCAACUGAUACUGCUCGACUAGAGUGCGGAAGGGGCACUGGAAUUCUUGGUGUAGCGGUGAAAUGCGUAGAUAUCAAGAGGAACACCUGCGGCGAAGGCGGGUU